UCCAUCGCGAGAUGGAAUCUGAAGGAAGUCGAAGGCAAAGCACUGACCUGACGAACAGAAAUCGCAUACGAGGCGGCAGCUGUGGGUGAGGAGUCUACUAUCUUCAAAGCCCGGUACUUGCACGGAGCGGCGGUCGUAAAUGCGGCAGGUAUAAGUGUGAAGGUCGCGCGUC
rfam:Klebsiella pneumoniae IS43, WGS project CBWK01000000 data, contig: c462